rnacentral:rRNA from 1 species
CAGUCGCCACGGUAAUACGUAGGGUGCAAGCGUUAAUCGGAAUUACUGGGCGUAAAGCGUGCGCAGGCGGUUAUAUAAGACAGAUGUGAAAUCCCCGGGCUCAACCUGGGAACUGCAUUUGUGACUGUAUAGCUAGAGUACGGCAGAGGGGGAUGGAAUUCCGCGUGUAGCAGUGAAAUGCGUAGAUAUGCGGAGGAACACCGAUGGCGAAGGCAAUCCCCUGGGCCUGUACUGACGCUCAUGCACGAAAGCGUGGGGAGCAAACAGGAUUAGAUACCCAAGUAGUCCCUGUCUCUUAUAC